rnacentral:rRNA from 1 species
GAUGAACGCUGGCGGCGUGCCUAAUACAUGCAAGUCGAGCGAACGGACGAGAAGCUUGCUUCUCUGAUGUUAGCGGCGGACGGGUGAGUAACACGUGGAUAACCUACCUAUAAGACUGGGAUAACUUCGGGAAACCGGAGCUAAUACCGGAUAAUAUUUUGAACCGCAUGGUUCAAAAGUGAAAGACGGUCUUGCUGUCACUUAUAGAUGGAUCCGGGCUGCAUUAGCUAGUUGGUAAGGUAACGGCUUACCAAGGCAACGAUGCAUAGCCGACCUGAGAGGGUGAUCAGCCACACUGGAACUGAGACACGGUCCAGACUCCUACGGGAGGCAGCAGUAGGGAAUCUUCCGCAAUGGGCGAAAGCCUGACGGAGCAACGCCGCGUGAGUGAUGAAGGUCUUCGGAUCGUAAAACUCUGUUAUUAGGGAAGAACAUAUGUGUAAGUAACUGUGCACAUCUUGACGGUACCUAAUCAGAAAGCCACGGCUAACUACGUG